UCGCCCUGUUUUACAAAAACAUCGCCCUUUGUAAAAUAAUUGAAAUAUAAAGGGUACUGCCUGCCCAGUGACGUAGUUAAACGGCCGCGGUAUUUUGACCGUGCAAAGGUAGCAUAAUCAUUUGCCUCUUAAAUAGAGGCUGGUAUGAAUGGCAAGACGAAGGUUAAGCUGUCUCUUUCUUAAAUCUUGAAUUUAAUAUUUUUGUGAAGAAGCAGAAAUUUAUUCGUAGGACGAGAAGACCCUAUCGAGCUUUAGUUAUUUAUGUUUGUGAGGAUAUUAUUUAAUAAAGUUAAUUUAUUAUAUUAGUAAAAAUUAGUACUAUUUUAAAGAAUAAGAAUCAUUAAAUAUAAAAGUUUUGAUUGGGGCAAUCGUGGAGAAAAAAAUCCUCCAUUAGAAAGUAGUAAAUAACAAUUUAUAUUAAAAGAUCCGCUGUAUAGCGAUUAAAGGAAUAAGUUACCGUAGGGAUAACAGCGUAAUUUUUUUGGAGAGUUCAUAUUGAUAAAAAAGUUUGCGACCUCGAUGUUGGAUCAAGAUUUCCUGGAGAUGCAGCAGUUUCUAUUAGGUUGGUCUGUUCGACCAUUAAAAUCUUACGUGAUCUGAUUCCAGACCGGA
rnacentral:rRNA from 19 species